rnacentral:rRNA from 1 species
CGGAGGGGGCGAGCGUUAUUCGGAAUUAUUGGGCGUAAAGGGCGCGUAGGCGGCUGAACAAGUCAAAGGUGAAAUCCCUCGGCUCAACUGAGGAACUGCCUUUGAAACUGUUCGGCUUGAGGCCGGGAGGGGGUAGCGGAAUUCCCAGUGUAGCGGUGAAAUGCGUAGAUAUUGGGAGGAACACCAGUGGCGAAGGCGGCUACCUGGACCGGUUCUGACGCUGAGGCGCGAAAGCGUGGGUAGCAAACAGG